UACGUAGGGGGCUAGCGUUGUCCGGAUUUAUUGGGCGUAAAGAGCGUGUAGGCGGCCAGGUAGGUCCGUUGUGAAAACUCGAGGCUCAACCUCGAGACGUCGGCGGAAACCAUCUGGCUAGAGUCCGGAAGAGGAGAAUGGAAUUCCCGGUGUAGCGGUGAAAUGCGCAGAUAUCGGGAAGAACACCCGUGGCGAAGGCGGUUCUCUGGGACGGUACUGACGCUGAGACGCGAAAGCGUGGGGAGCGAACAGG
rnacentral:rRNA from 1 species